rnacentral:rRNA from 1 species
AUUGAACGCUGGCGGCAUGCCUUACACGUGCAAGUCGAACGGCAGCACGGGAGCAAUCCUGGUGGCGAGUGGCGAACGGGUGAGUAAAGUAUCGGAACGUGCCCAGUCGUGGGGGAUAACGUAGCGAAAGUUACGCUAAUACCGCAUACGAUCUAUGGAUGAAAGCGGGGGAUCGCAAGACCUCGCGCGAUUGGAGCGGCCGAUAUCAGAUUAGGUAGUUGGUGGGGUAAAGGCUCACCAAGCCGACGAUCUGUAGCUGGUCUGAGAGGACGACCGGCCACACUGGGACUGAGACACGGCCCAGACUCCUACGGGAGGCAGCAGUGGGGAAUUUUGGACAAUGGGCGAAAGCCUGAUCCAGCCAUGCCGCGUGCAGAAUGAAGGCCUUCGGGUUGUAAACUGCUUUUGUACGGAACGAAAAGGUUUGGCCUAAUAAGCUGAGCUCAUGACGGUACCGUAAGAAUAAGCACCGGCUAACUACGUGCCAGCAGCCGCCGUAA